GCUUGCUUUUUGCUGACGAGUGGCGAACGGGUGCGUAACGCGUAUGCAACCUACCUUCUUCUGAGGAAUAGCCCAGAGAAAUUUGGAUUAAAACCUCAUGAUAAUAUUUAUUCGCAUGUUUAAAUAUUUAAAAUUUCGAUGGAAGAAGAUGGGCAUGCGUAACAUUAGUUUGUUGGUGAGGUAAUGGCUCACCAAGACUACGAUGUUUAGGGGGUCUGAGAGGAUGAUCCCCCACACUGGUACUGAGACACGGACCAGACUCCUACGGGAGGCAGCAGUGAGGAAUAUUGGUCAAUGGACGAAAGUCUGAGCCAGCCAUGCCGCGUGAAGGAUGACUGCCCUACGGGUUGUAAACUUCUUUUGUAUAGGAAGAAACCCCUCUACGUGUAGAGGGUUGACGGUACUAUUCGAAUAAGCACCGGCUAACUCCGUGCCAGCAGCCGCGGUAAUACGGAGGGUGCGAGCGUUAUCCGGAAUUAUUGGGUUUAAAGGGUGCGUA
rnacentral:rRNA from 1 species